AGAGUUUGAUCCUGGCUCAGGAUGAACGCUAGCGGCAGGCCUAACACAUGCAAGUCGAGGGGCAGCGAGGGUAGCAAUACCUGUCGGCGACCGGCGCACGGGUGAGUAACGCGUAUGCAACCUGCCCCCGUCUGGGGAAUAGCCCGUCGAAAGGCGGAUUAACGCCCCAUAGUUCUCCCCGCCGGCAUCGGCGGGGAGGUAAAGGUUACGGACGGGGAUGGGCAUGCGUGCCAUUAGCUUGUUGGCGGGGUAACGGCCCACCAAGGCGACGAUGGCUAGGGGAGCUGAGAGGCUGAACCCCCACACUGGUACUGAGACACGGACCAGACUCCUACGGGAGGCAGCAGUGAGGAAUAUUGGACAAUGGGGGAAACCCUGAUCCAGCGACGCCGCGUGGGUGAAGAAGGCCUGCGGGUUGUAAAGCCCUUUCGGUAGGGACGAAAGCUCUCGACCUAACACGUCGGGAGGUUGACUUAACCUACAAAAGAAGCACCGGCUAACUCUGUGCCAGCAGCCGCGGUAAUACAGAGGGUGCGAGCGUUAAUCGGAAUUACUGGGCGUAAAGCGCACGUAGGCGGCUUGGCACGUCGGGUGUGAAAUCCCCGGGCUCAACCUGGGAACUGCAUCCGAAACUGCCUUGCUAGAGUAUGGGAGAGGGAAGUGGAAUUUCCGGUGUAGCGGUGAAAUGCGUAGAUAUCGGAAGGAACAUCAGUGGCGAAGGCGACUUCCUGGACCAAUACUGACGCUCAGGUGCGAAAGCGUGGGGAGCAAACAGGAUUAGAUACCCUGGUAGUCCACGC
rnacentral:rRNA from 1 species